rnacentral:rRNA from 1 species
AGGACGAACGCUGGCGGCGUGCUUAACACAUGCAAGUCGAGCGGAAAGGCCCUUCGGGGUACUCGAGCGGCGAACGGGUGAGUAACACGUGAGCAACCUGCCCCUGGCUCUGGGAUAGCCUCCGGAAACGGGGAUUAAUACCGGACAUUCACUCUUCUGGGCAUCCUAGAGGGUGGAAAGUUUUUUCGGCCGGGGAGGGGCUCGCGGCCUAUCAGCUUGUUGGCGGGGUAACGGCCCACCAAGGCGACGACGGGUAGCCGGCCUGAGAGGGCGACCGGCCACACUGGGACUGAGACACGGCCCAGACUCCUACGGGAGGCAGCAGUGGGGAAUAUGCGCAAUGGGCGGAAGCCUGACGCAGCGACGCCGCGUGGGGGAUGAAGGCCUUCGGGUUGUAAACCCCUUUCACCAGGAGCGAAUCAAGACGGUACCUGGGGAAGAAGCGCCGGCUAACUACGUGCCAGCAGCCGC